rnacentral:rRNA from 1 species
UACGUAGGGUGCAAGCGUUGUCCGGAAUUAUUGGGCGUAAAGAGCUCGUAGGCGGUCUGUCGCGUCGGCUGUGAAAACUCGGGGCUCAACUCCGAGCUUGCAGUCGAUACGGGCAGGCUAGAGUUCGGCAGGGGAGACUGGAAUUCCUGGUGUAGCGGUGAAAUGCGCAGAUAUCAGGAGGAACACCGGUGGCGAAGGCGGGUCUCUAGUACGGUACUGACGCUGAGACGCGAAAGCGUGGGGAGCGAACAGG